rnacentral:rRNA from 1 species
UACAGAGGUCUCAAGCGUUGUUCGGAUUCAUUGGGCGUAAAGGGUGCGUAGGCGGCGCGGUAAGUCGGGUGUGAAAUCUCGGGGCUUAACUCCGAAACUGCAUUCGAUACUGCCGUGCUUGAGGACUGGAGAGGAGACUGGAAUUUACGGUGUAGCGGUGAAAUGCGUAGAUAUCGUAAGGAAGACCAGUGGCGAAGGCGGGUCUCUGGACAGUUCCUGACGCUGAGGAGCGAAAGCGUGGGGAGCGAACAGG